CUACGGAACUCCUACGGGAGGCAGCAGUGGGGAAUAUUGGACAAUGGGCGAAAGCCUGAUCCAGCCAUGCCGCGGGUGUGAAGGAGGUCUUCGGAUUGUAAAGCACUUUGAGUUGGGAGGAAGGGCAGUAAGUUAAUACCUUGCUGUUUUGACGUUACCGACAGAAUAAGCACCGGCUAACUCUGUGCCAGCAGCCGCGGUAAUACAGAGGGUGCAAGCGUUAAUCGGAAUUACUGGGCGUAAAGCGCGCGUAGGUGGUUUGUUAAGUUGGAUGUGAAAGCCCCGGGCUCAACCUGGGAACUGCAUCCAAAACUGGCAAGCUAGAGUACGGUAGAGGGUGGUGGAAUUUCCUGUGUAGCGGUGAAAUGCGUAGAUAUAGGAAGGAACACCAGUGGCGAAGGCGACCACCUGGACUGAUACUGACACUGAGGUGCGAAAGCGUGGGGAGCAAACAGGAUUAGAUACCCGAGUAGUCCUCUUCGA
rnacentral:rRNA from 1 species